CAGCAGCCGCGGUAAUACGUAGGUGGCAAGCGUUGUCCGGAAUUAUUGGGCGUAAAGGGCUCGCAGGCGGUUUCUUAAGUCUGAUGUGAAAGCCCCCGGCUCAACCGGGGAGGGUCAUUGGAAACUGGGAAACUUGAGUGCAGAAGAGGAGAGUGGAAUUCCACGUGUAGCGGUGAAAUGCGUAGAGAUGUGGAGGAACACCAGUAGCGAAGGCGACUCUCUGGUCUGUAACUGACGCUGAGGAGCGAAAGCGUGGGGAGCGAACAGGAUUAGAUACCCCCGUAGUCCCUGUCUCUUAUAC
rnacentral:rRNA from 1 species